rnacentral:rRNA from 1 species
GACGAACCGUGCGAACGUUGUUCGGAAUCACUGGGCUUAAAGGGCGCGUAGGCGGGCUGUCAAGUCCGGGGUGAAAGCCCCCCGCUCAACGGGGGAACGGCCUCGGAUACUGGCGGUCUGGAGGCGGGUAGGGGCAGGCGGAACUGUGGGUGGAGCGGUGAAAUGCGUUGAGAUCCACAGGAACUCCGGUGGCGAAGGCGGCCUGCUGGACCCGAACUGACGCUGAGGCGCGAAAGCCAGGGGAGCGAACGGG